UAGCUAGUAGUGUAAAAAGCACAUCACUCUUUGAAAGUGAAGGUAAGUCGACUCUUUUAGCUAA
rnacentral:tRNA from 1 species